UACGUAGGCAGCGAGCGUUGUUCGGAGUUACUGGGCGUAAAGGGUGUGUAGGCGGUUGUUUAAGUUUGGUGUGAAAUCUCCCGGCUCAACUGGGAGGGUGCGCCGAAUACUGAAUGACUCGAGUGUGGGAGAGGUGAGUGGAAUUCCUGGUGUAGCGGUGAAAUGCGUAGAUAUCGGUAGGAACACCAGUGGCGAAGGCGGUCUCCUGGGGCAUUCUUGACGCUGAGGCGCGAAAGCUGGGGGAGCAAACGGG
rnacentral:rRNA from 1 species